UCUCCUUUAAAACAUAGAUCAAACAGUGGUGUGAACCCAUACAUCUUCCCUGUCAAACAUUUAAUUUAUUGUGCUGUUCAUUUGUAACUUGAGACUAGAGAACUAUUGGAUGACAAAAGAGGAUGGAUGGCUUUUUUAUUGAGUCCUUACACAGCUGGCAGAAGAUAGCAAAUGGAGGAAGGAAAUGUGCAAUACUCAUUUCCAAACUCCUAAUAAAUCGUGGGUGGAUCGCAAAGGGUUUAUGCUAACCUGUAACUAUCGCAUUGCAUUUUCAAAGGGCUGGGGGUUCAUUAUCAUUUGUCUCAUUCACUGUGGUUAAACUGAGCGUCAGAAAGUAGGUUAAUAAAACGUAUAUAGUGACAUACAGCAACUGUUAUUAUGGAUAUGUAAUAUCAACCAUUUUUAACUCAGUUUUAGCUCUUACUUCAUCCCUCUGGAAUUAAAGUAUUGUUUAAACAGUUCUUGUUUGGUGUUACUUAUCCUAUUAUAUUGUAAGAGCUCCUUUUCAACUUAGUCCUUGGAGUGUUCAAGGAAUGUGUAGAUGUGGCGCUGAGGGGUGUGGUUAGUGGUAUGGUGGUGAUGGGUCCAUGGUUCAACUAAAUGGUCUUAGUGAUCUUUUCCAACCUUAAUGAUUCUAUGAUAUUGGGAAUGUGUGGUCAGCAGCUCUCUUCUUUGGUAGCAGCUCUUGAUGCUGAGCUGGUUCAUGCACAGAAUGCUGCUGUUGGCAGCACUUGGGAGCCAAGAUGGUGCUGCUGUCCUGAAGCUCCCAGUUAUGGUGCAGACCUCACCCCCUGGCCAUCCCUCCUGUUAUCUCUCUUCCUCUGAUCAUCUUGAGCUGCAUGAAAAUAUUACUGUUUUAUAAAAUACCCAGGUAAACUGGUUUGAGCUAAACAUUCCCUGGUUUAAAUCUUAAUUUUCUUUUUUUUUUCCCUCCCAUAAUGAAAUUGUAAGUUACGUCUCAGGCUUUGGGGACUUCUGACUCUGCUUAUCUGCUGCAUUUGCAUCAGCAUAUCCACCCCAUCUUUCUAUAUAUAGUAUUAAAGGCAGAAAUCAAAGCACAGGACCCAUGGGAAGCGACGUUUCAAAUGUACACCAUUGCUUUUCUUCGUCAUUGUUCUGAACUGUGCACCCUCUGCUCCUGACAGUGCACCCACAACAAGAUAAGGAGCAAAUGGAAAAUUGACUGAGAUGAGAGAAGCCAGCAAGUUAAGGUCCAAAUUGAAACAUUUGAGUACGUAAGCGUCUUCUGUGGGAAGAGGAGCAACAGCUGCCCACCAAAUUGGAAGAAGAUAUAAUGAAUGCAUCUUCUCUGAAUCACAAGAAAAAGACGAUUUCAACUUAAGAGAACAUUUUAAUCUCAGUCAAAAUGGGGCAUCUUCACCAUAAGGUUGUCUGCAGUCAUGGUAUGGCUUUCCUGACUUUGCUAAUUCCUUUGGGCUUUAAUUAGAAACACUUCAGCAACACUUCCUAAAGCAUGCAAAUGUUGGGGCUCCCACUAA
ensembl:lncRNA